rnacentral:rRNA from 1 species
GUUAUAUGGUCAAGUGAAGAAGCGCAUACGGUGGAUGCCUUGGCAGUCAGAGGCGAUGAAAGACGUGGUAGCCUGCGAAAAGCUUCGGGGAGUCGGCAAACAGACUUUGAUCCGGAGAUGUCUGAAUGGGGGAACCCAGCCAUCAUAAGAUGGUUAUCUUGUACUGAAUACAUAGGUGCAAGAGGCGAACCAGGGGAACUGAAACAUCUAAGUACCCUGAGGAAAAGAAAUCAACCGAGAUUCCCUUAGUAGUGGCGAGCGAACGGGGACUAGCCCUUAAGUGGCUUUGAGAUUAGCGGAACGCUCUGGAAAGUGCGGCCAUAGUGGGUGAUAGCCCUGUACGCGAAAAUCUCUUAGUCAUGAAAUCGAGUAGGACGGAGCACGAGAAACUUUGUCUGAAUAUGGGGGGACCAUCCUCCAAGGCUAAAUACUACUGACUGACCGAUAGUGAACUAGUACCGUGAGGGAAAGGCGAAAAGAACCCCGGAGAGGGGAGUGAAAUAGAUCCUGAAACCGUAUGCGUACAAGCAGUGGGAGCAGACUUUGUUCUGUGACUGCGUACCUUUUGUAUAAUGGGUCAGCGACUUAUAUUCAGUGGCGAGCUUAACCGAAUAGGGGAGGCGUAGCGAAAGCGAGUCUUAAUAGGGCGUUUAGUCGCUGGGUAUAGACCCGAAACCGGGCGAUCUAUCCAUGGGCAGGUUGAAGGUUAGGUAACACUGACUGGAGGACCGAACCGACUACCGUUGAAAAGUUAGCGGAUGACCUGUGGAUCGGAGUGAAAGGCUAAUCAAGCUCGGAGAUAGCUGGUUCUCCUCGAAAGCUAUUUAGGUAGCGCCUCAUGUAUCACUGUAGGGGGUAGAGCACUGUUUCGGCUAGGGGGUCAUCCCGACUUACCAAACCGAUGCAAACUCCGAAUACCUACAAGUGCCGAGCAUGGGAGACACACGGCGGGUGCUAACGUCCGUCGUGAAAAGGGAAACAACCCAGACCGUCAGCUAAGGUCCCAAAGUUAUGGUUAAGUGGGAAACGAUGUGGGAAGGCUUAGACAGCUAGGAGGUUGGCUUAGAAGCAGCCACCCUUUAAAGAAAGCGUAAUAGCUCACUAGUCGAGUCGGCCUGCGCGGAAGAUGUAACGGGGCUCAAACCAUACACCGAAGCUACGGGUAUCACUUAGGUGAUGCGGUAGAGGAGCGUUCUGUAAGCCUGUGAAGGUGAGUUGAGAAGCUUGCUGGAGGUAUCAGAAGUGCGAAUGCUGACAUGAGUAACGACAAUGGGUGUGAAAAACACCCACGCCGAAAGACCAAGGUUUCCUGCGCAACGUUAAUCGACGCAGGGUUAGUCGGUCCCUAAGGCGAGGCUGAAAAGCGUAGUCGAUGGAAAACAGGUUAAUAUUCCUGUACUUCUGGUUAUUGCGAUGGAGGGACGGAGAAGGCUAGGCCAGCUUGGCGUUGGUUGUCCAAGUUUAAGGUGGUAGGCUGAGAUCUUAGGUAAAUCCGGGAUCUUAAGGCCGAGAGCUGAUGACGAGUUACCCUUUGGGUGACGAAGUGGUUGAUGCCAUGCUUCCAAGAAAAGCUUCUAAGCUUCAGAUAACCAGGAACCGUACCCCAAACCGACACAGGUGGUUGGGUAGAGAAUACCAAGGCGCUUGAGAGAACUCGGGUGAAGGAACUAGGCAAAAUGGCACCGUAACUUCGGGAGAAGGUGCGCCGGUGAGGGUGAAGCACUUGCUGCGUAAGCCCACGCCGGUCGAAGAUACCAGGCCGCUGCGACUGUUUAUUAAAAACACAGCACUCUGCAAACACGAAAGUGGACGUAUAGGGUGUGACGCCUGCCCGGUGCCGGAAGGUUAAUUGAUGGGGUUAGCUAACGCGAAGCUCUUGAUCGAAGCCCCGGUAAACGGCGGCCGUAACUAUAACGGUCCUAAGGUAGCGAAAUUCCUUGUCGGGUAAGUUCCGACCUGCACGAAUGGCGUAACGAUGGCGGCGCUGUCUCCACCCGAGACUCAGUGAAAUUGAAAUCGCUGUGAAGAUGCAGUGUAUCCGCGGCUAGACGGAAAGACCCCGUGAACCUUUACUAUAGCUUUGCACUGGACUUUGAAUUUGCUUGUGUAGGAUAGGUGGGAGGCUUUGAAGCGUGGACGCCAGUUCGCGUGGAGCCAUCCUUGAAAUACCACCCUGGCAACUUUGAGGUUCUAACUCAGGUCCGUUAUCCGGAUCGAGGACAGUGUAUGGUGGGUAGUUUGACUGGGGCGGUCUCCUCCUAAAGAGUAACGGAGGAGUACGAAGGUGCGCUCAGACCGGUCGGAAAUCGGUCGUAGAGUAUAAAGGCAAAAGCGCGCUUGACUGCGAGACAGACACGUCGAGCAGGUACGAAAGUAGGUCUUAGUGAUCCGGUGGUUCUGUAUGGAAGGGCCAUCGCUCAACGGAUAAAAGGUACUCCGGGGAUAACAGGCUGAUACCGCCCAAGAGUUCAUAUCGACGGCGGUGUUUGGCACCUCGAUGUCGGCUCAUCACAUCCUGGGGCUGAAGCCGGUCCCAAGGGUAUGGCUGUUCGCCAUUUAAAGUGGUACGCGAGCUGGGUUUAGAACGUCGUGAGACAGUUCGGUCCCUAUCUGCCGUGGACGUUUGAGAUUUGAGAGGGGCUGCUCCUAGUACGAGAGGACCGGAGUGGACGAACCUCUGGUGUUCCGGUUGUCACGCCAGUGGCAUUGCCGGGUAGCUAUGUUCGGAAAAGAUAACCGCUGAAAGCAUCUAAGCGGGAAACUUGCCUCAAGAUGAGAUCUCACUGGAACCUUGAGUUCCCUGAAGGGCCGUCGAAGACUACGACGUUGAUAGGUUGGGUGUGUAAGCGCUGUGAGGCGUUGAGCUAACCAAUACUAAUUGCCCGUGAGGCUUGACCAUAUAACACCCAAGCAAUU